rnacentral:rRNA from 1 species
GACGAACGCUGGCGACGCGCUUAACACAUGCAAGUCGAACGGAAAGGCCUGCUUUCCCUUGUGGAUUGCGGGUACUCGAGUGGCGAACGGGUGAGUAACACGUGAGUGAUCUGCCCCCAACUUGGGUAUAAGCCUGGGAAACUGGGUCUAAUUCCCGAUAGGACUGCAGGGUGGUGCCUGUGGUGGAAAACGAUUUUCUAGUGGUUGGGGAUGAGCUCGCGGCCUAUCAGCUUGUUGGUGGGGUAAUGGCCUACCAAGGCGGCGACGGGUAGCCGGCCUGAGAGGGUGGACGGACACAUUGGGACUGAGAUACGGCCCAGACUCCUACGGGAGGCAGCAGUGGGGAAUAUUGGACAAUGGGCGGAAGCCUGAUGCAGCGACGCCGCGUGGGGGAUGACGGCCUUCGGGUUGUAAACUCCUUUCGACCGCGAGGAAGCCACCUGGUUGGAAGGGUGGUGACGGUAGUGGUAGAAGAAGCACCGGCUAACUACGUG